CAAGACUCCAACAGAGCAGAUUGGACAAACCUGUAUAUUAAGAACUGCAAUAUUCAGUGGGUUCUUUCAUUGUUACUCCUGGUGACCUCUUUCAAGCACUGGACAAGGCCAGAACUGAAUGCAGUAAGCUCGGUGUGGUCCCAUCAGAGCUGUUAAGAAGCACUAUAAACUCCAUGACUUGGUUCUGCAUAUGCAGCUCAAAAUCACAUCGGCUCUUCCUAUGAUGAGGACACUGAUGCACAGAUGGUGAAGGAACUUGUUCCAGCUGAUGCAGCAGGUCAGUGGAUCUCUUACCUGUGGUGCUUCAAGAUUUCACAGGACUGGAGCUCCCCAUGAUCUGAAUAUCUAGUAAUCUGAAAUCUUUGGCUGUACUCUAAGACAUUCAGAUACUCCACAUUCCCUUGGAUUUCCUUCCCACUGAACUUCUGCAGACUGUAUUUUUCCUAUGAUGAAUUAGCCAGCCUUUCCCUGUCUUUGAUGUUGUAUGUUAAAACUCAUCAUAUGACAUAUCAUUAAAAACAAUUGGUAUCUUAGCUGUCAACAGCAUUGAUG